GGGCCUGUAGCUCAGCUGGGAGAGCGCGUGCUUUGCAAGCAUGAGGUCAGCGGUUCGAUCCCGCUCAGGUCCA
rnacentral:tRNA from 1 species